rnacentral:rRNA from 1 species
UACGUAGGGGGCGAGCGUUGUCCGGAGUUACUGGGCGUAAAGCGCGCGCAGGCGGCUAUCCAAGUCAGUGGUGAAAGCCCGGAGCUCAACUCCGGAACUGCCAUUGAAACUGUUUAGCUUGAGGACGAGAGAGGUGAGUGGAAUUCCCAGUGUAGAGGUGAAAUUCGUAGAUAUUGGGAAGAACACCGGUGGCGAAGGCGGCUCACUGGCUCGUAUCUGACGCUCAGGCGCGACAGCGUGGGGAGCAAACAGG